CCUACGGGCGGCAGCAGUGAGGAAUAUUGGUCAAUGGGCGCGAGCCUGAACCAGCCAAGUCGCGUGAGGGAAGACGGUCCUAUGGAUUGUAAACCUCUUUUGUCGGGGAGCAAAAGACGCCACGCGUGGCGUUCCGAAAGUACCCGAAGAAAAAGCAUCGGCGAACCCCGUGCCAGCAGCCGCGGUAAUACGGAGGAUGCGAGCGUUAUCCGGAUUUCUUGGGUUUAAAGGGUGCGCAGGCGGAAGAGCAAGUCAGUGGUAAAAUUGGGAGGCUCAACCUCUUCGAGCCGUUGAAACUGGUGUUCUUGAGUGGGCGAGAAGUAUGCGGAAUGCGUGGUGUAGCGGUGAAAUGCAUAGAUAUCACGCAGAACUCCGAUUGCGAAGGCAGCAUACCGGCGCCCAACUGACGCUGAAGCACGAAAGCGUGGGUAUCGAACAGGAUUAGAUACCCCAGUAGUC
rnacentral:rRNA from 1 species